UUAUCCCCCGUGGCUGCUUCCUCUCGCAGCUGCCCCGCCCGCGCCGCCCGCCCUCCCAACCCGCCGGAGCUGCGACGGCGAGGAGCUGUGCAAGUCCAACCAACAGCGCCUAACCCCCUCCACAUAGGUUGGAUGCAGCACUACAACGCCAGCACCGGUAAAUCAAUCCUGUAACCGUCGCGUCGCCAUGGCGCAACCCGCCGCCGCCGCCGCCGCCGCCAUUGCGCUGCGCCGCCCGCUCCUCCUCUCCCUCAAGCCGGCUCGCCUCCUGACCUCCCUCGCAGCCCCCUCGCCUGGCAUCCGCCACCCGCGCGCCCUCCGCCCCACAGGCCCUCUGCCAGCUGACACCGCCGAGGACACCGACGAUCCAGACGCCGGGGACGGCUCUGCCGAGCCCUUCAAGAAGAGCCGCAACGCACUCAAGCGGGAGGCCCGCCGCGCCGUGCAGUGGGGCAUGGACCUCGCCAAGUUCCCGCCACCACAGAUCAAGCGCAUCCUAAGGGCCGCCUCACUGGAAACCGAGGUCUUCGACGCUCUCAUGCUCGUCAAGAGAUUUGGGCCGGAUGUGCGGGAAGGAAAGAGGAGGCAGUUCAAUUACAUCGGUAGACUUCUGCGCAAUGCACAACCGGAAUUGAUGGAUACUCUAAUACAGGCUUCCAAGGAUGGAGAUGAUAGCAAGUUACAUGCAUUGCUGAGUGAAGAGAAAUUGUUGGUGGAAGACGAGGAAGUGGAGGAACUACCUGAUGAAGAAGAGGACGAUGGAGAGUAUAUGAAAAUUGCAGAUAGAUGGUUUGAUGGUCUCCUUUGCAAAGACAUCUCAAUUACUAAUGAAGUUUAUGCUAUCCAUAAUGUUGAGUUUGAUCGUCAGGAACUGCGGCAGCUUGUGAGGAGAGUCCAGAUGGUUGAAGAAAGCACAAGUAAAGAUGACGAGGAAGGAUCUAACGGGAAGCUUUCCAGAGCAAAGAAACCGCUUUUGAGGUUCCUUCGCUCCCUUGCAAAGGAAGCAUGCGCUGAAUAGGUGAAGAACUUACUAACACUUGUGAAGGAUGGACAGUGGUGCCAGUUUGUAUCCCAUUUACCCAUUCACGUGCAUAAUGUGUGUGGUAGUAGGUUGUGGUCAGUCAGUUAAACUACCAGCUAUAUAGUAUGGAUGAAGCUCUCGGUGCACGUGGUUCAACGAGGAUAUGCAACGUUAUUGGGAAAUCAUACAUGCAAGUCCUGAACGAUAUAAGUAUUUGGGAACGAAGUGUCGGACCAGCUUUAGUUUCUGAAAUUGAGUAGCUUCAUCUGUAUUGGU